GGGGGGUCACCAGGAUUGGGGUCUCCAAGGUUGGGACACUCCAGGUUUGGGGAUUCCCAGGGUCAGGGAUCCCCAGGAUUGGGGUCUCCAAGGUCGGGGGGUCACCGGAAUUGGGGUCUCCAAGGUUGGGAUACUCCAGGUUUGGGGAUUCCCGGGGUCAGGGAUCCCCAGGAUUGGGGUCUCCAAGGACCUUGGAGGCCCAGGUGGGAUUUCAGUGGGUUUUUUCCCUGUCAGAAAUUCCUGGAGCUGAUCGGAGCCACCCAAGGGCAGAUGACGGUGCUGAGGUUGGUGGAGCUCCUGGAGAGGGGGAAGAGGCUCCCGAUCCCGAAGGAUUGUCCGUGUGAGAUUUACCGGCUGAUGAAGAACUGCUGGGAAGCAGAAGCUUCUUUCCGCCCCUCCUUCCACAACCUCAUCCCAAUCCUCAGGAACUUCCAGGAAAAAUACCGGGCUCAGGCCCCCUCCGUCUUCAACCUCUGCUGAGACCCCCAAAAUUCCACGGACCGGGGGGAAAACACCCCCAAAACUCCAUGGAUUGGAGGGAGACCCCCCCCAAAAAAAUGGAGUGGAAAGACACCCCUAAAAAUUCCAUGGAAGGGGAAGGACACAAAAAAAAAAUCAUGGAUGAGGGGAAAGACACUCAACAGAUUCCAUGGACUGGGGAAGAACACCCCAAAAAAUGCCCUGGAUGGGGGAAAACAGCCCCAAAAAUUCCAUGGAUUGAGGAAAGAACCCAAAAAAUUCCAAGGAGGGGGGGAAACACCCCUGGGGGGGGCACACGGGCUCUGGAUUCCCGUUUUCCCGGCAGGAUGAGGAAAUUCCGGGAUGUGGAGACGGAGCAGCACCGAGGAGGGGGGAUCCUCCCCCUCGAAAAAUUCCAGAUAUUUCCCCCCCAAAAUGCCAAACACUGUGAAUGAGACUGUGGGGACGAGGAUUUCUGGGAGCAGGACGUGGAUUUCUGGG
rnacentral:lncRNA from 1 species